rnacentral:rRNA from 1 species
UGGGGAAUAUUGCACAAUGGGCGCAAGCCUGAUGCAGCGACGCCGCGUGAGGGAUGGAGGCCUUCGGGUUGUAAACCUCUUUCGCCAGUGAAGCAGGCCAUCUUCUUUGUGGGGUGGUUGACGGUAGCUGGAUAAGAAGCGCCGGCUAACUACGUGCCAGCAGCCGCGGUAAUACGUAGGGCGCGAGCGUUGUCCGGAAUUAUUGGGCGUAAAGAGCUCGUAGGCGGCUGGUCGCGUCUGUCGUGAAAUCCCCUGGCUUAACUGGGGGCUUGCGGUGGGUACGGGCCGGCUUGAGUGCGGUAGGGGAGACUGGAAUUCCUGGUGUAGCGGUGGAAUGCGCAGAUAUCAGGAGGAACACCGGUGGCGAAGGCGGGUCUCUGGGCCAUUACUGACGCUGAGGAGCGAAAGCGUGGGGAGCGAACAGG